GAAAUGCGAUAAGUAAUGUGAAUUGCAGAAUUCAGUGAAUCAUCGAAUCUUUGAACGCACAUUGCGCUCACCAGUAUUCUGGCGAGCAUGCCUGUUCGAGCGUCAUUUCAACCAUCAAGCUCUGCUUGCGUUGGGGAUCCGCGGCUGCCCGCGGUCCCUCAAAAACAGUGGCGGGCUCGCUAGUCACACCGAGCGUAGUAACUCUACAUCGCUAUGGUCGUGCGGCGGGUUCUUGCCGUAAAACCCCCAAUUUCUAAGGUUGACCUCGGAUCAGGUAGGAAUACCCGCUGAACUUAAGC
rnacentral:misc_RNA from 1 species